rnacentral:rRNA from 1 species
GACGAACGCUGGCGGCGUGCUUAACACAUGCAAGUCGAACGGAAAGGCCCUGCUUUUGUGGGGUGCUCGAGUGGCGAACGGGUGAGUAACACGUGAGUAACCUGCCCUUGACUUUGGGAUAACUUCAGGAAACUGGGGCUAAUACCGGAUAGGAGCUCCUGCUGCAUGGUGGGGGUUGGAAAGUUUCGGCGGUUGGGGAUGGACUCGCGGCUUAUCAGCUUGUUGGUGGGGUAGUGGCUUACCAAGGCUUUGACGGGUAGCCGGCCUGAGAGGGUGAACGGCCACAUUGGUACUGAGAUACGGCCCAGACUCCUACGGGAGGCAGCAGUGGGGAAUAUUGCACAAUGGGCGGAAGCCUGAUGCAGCAACGCCGCGUGCGGGAUGACGGCCUUCGGGUUGUAAACCGCUUUCGCCUGUGACGAAGCGGGAGUGACGGUAAUGGGUAAAGAAGCACCGGCUAACUACGUG